GCCUACGGGGCGCAGCAGUGGGGGAUAUUGGACAAUGGGGGAAACCCUGAUGCAGCGACGCCGCGUGAGUGAGGAAGUAUUUCGGUAUGUAAAGCUCUAUCAGCAGGGAAGAAAAUGACGGUACCUGACUAAGAAGCCCCGGCUAACUACGUGCCAGCAGCCGCGGUAAUACGUAGGGGGCAAGCGUUAUCCGGAUUUACUGGGUGUAAAGGGAGCGUAGACGGCUGUGCAAGCCAGAUGUGAAAGCCCGGGGCUCAACCCCGGGACUGCAUUUGGAACUGUGUGGCUGGAGUGUCGGAGGGGCA
rnacentral:rRNA from 1 species